rnacentral:rRNA from 1 species
ACGAAGGGUGCAAGCGUUACUCGGAAUUACUGGGCGUAAAGCGUGCGUAGGUGGUGGUUUAAGUCUGCUGUGAAAGCCCUGGGCUCAACCUGGGAAUUGCAGUGGAUACUGGAUUACUAGAGUGUGGUAGAGGGAUGCGGAAUUUCUGGUGUAGCAGUGAAAUGCGUAGAGAUCAGAAGGAACAUCCGUGGCGAAGGCGGCAUCCUGGGCCAACACUGACACUGAGGCACGAAAGCGUGGGGAGCAAACAGG